rnacentral:lncRNA from 1 species
AUAACGUUGUCUUUUUAGCAAUUUUGCCAUGUAAAGAACUCAAAUUCAUAGUUACUAUUAACCUUUGUUGUGACGGUAAUAUCUUGUGUUAAUGUAAUACUUCUUGCAUUUUCAUGCACCCCAUUCAUUGAGUGCGUCCUAUUUCAUAGGUAUCGUGAACUUACAGUCCUAUGUAAGUCUAAUGAUGCUACAUCUUAUAAAUAAAGGAAUUAAGUUUAGAGAAAGAGGUGAUCAUCGGAGGUGGACGUGAUCUCUUCAGGUGUCAUAGACAAGAUGAACCAAAACUGGAUCUGGAAUUAUGGCCAAGAUUUGGAAAGGAACAGAAGAGGGCAUCCCGAUUUUGAAAAAACUACUAGAAUAAGAAACAGGAAGAAAUGUCACAUGGAAUCAUUAAAAUCAUAAAUUCUCCUAUCUUCUUGUGGAAAAAUUAUGCAGACUCUGACUGAAAAAUAAUGUGGUGACUAAAGCAGAAGAUUAGUGAGAACAUCAUUGCCUUUGAUUGUCCUUCAAUAUCACCUGUGGUUCUAAGGAAGUGGCAGAUCUGAAGAGCUGAAAUGUAAUGUAAUAUGCUGACUCGUUUGCCUGAUGGAUGUGUGACUGCCCUCUGUUGGAUGAAAUUAGAUCUGCUCUUAUAUGUUAGACUGUCUUGCCCUCUAGUGGUUUGUGCAGAAGAUAGUAAUGAAGACAUUGGAGAAUACUGCAUGAAGAAUCAGGACGAACACGUCUUGUCUUUUCGACUCUGUUCUCAUUGCAACAAACACAGGAAAGGAGAAGAAAGGGACACAGCCCCCGGGCUCACUUGUGAGAAGACACUCUCCCCGGCAGCGGUCCAGCUUCUUAGAUUCACCUCGACAUUAAAUUGCGUGUUAAUGUCGGAUUCGCUCUGGGAGUAG